rnacentral:rRNA from 1 species
ACACGUCUACAUUAGAUACCCCCGUAGUCCCAGCCGUAAACUAUGCGCGUUAGGUGUAUCGGUGACCACGAGUUACCGAGGUGCCGAAGGGAAACCGUGAAACGUGCCGCCUGGGAAGUACGGUCGCAAGGCUGAAACUUAAAGGAAUUGGCGGGGAGCACCACAACAGGUGGAGCCUGCGGUUUAAUUGGACUCAACGCCGGGAAGCUCACCGGAUAGGACAGCAGAAUGAUUGCCGGGCUGAAGACCCUGCAUGACUAGCUG